UUUUUUUUUUUUUUUUUUUUUUUUUUUGGUAAAAACCCUAGAGAAACGAAAGGAAAGGUUGUUGUGUGAGUAAGAGUAAAGAACAUUCCAUGAUCGUUUGGAAUGAAUGAGUGAGAAACACCGAGAAAGGGAGUGGUGGUAUAUCAGAGAGGAGAUGUUAAAAUUGGGAAACAAAGAUGGAAAGCGAAAGUAGAAUUUUGGAGUUAGGGAAGAAAUCGGAAAAGUGUAUGUGUUACGCGGGAGUUCAGAUAGGAAUGGAGAUGCUACUGGAGCUAUACGAUUGAUGAGAGAGCUAUACGAUUGAUGAGAGAGGGGGUUGCUACGGGAGUUUGGUUUCAAAGUUUUAAUUACUUAUGAGAAGGAUUUGUAAUACUUUCUUUAUUUUUUUUUUGGACUCAAAAGAAAAUUCUAUUUCCAUUUGUAAUAACUUUAAGUCUUUCGAAAAUUUAAUUAUAUAGUAAAAUAACAAGAUUUUGCUUUA